AAAGGAAAAAAUAGCAGCUUACUUUCUUUUAUUUGUUUAUUAAACCAUGUUACUUUAAUUUCUUUCUAUUACAAUGCCUUAAGAAAAAAAUAGAAAUAAAAUGUUGCAACAGAAAGAAAUGGAAGUAGAAUGCUAUAAAUAACACACAAUUAAAUGAAAGUAGGGGGCUAUAGCUCAACUUAAUUGUGUCAUUGCUAAAAUGUUGCAGCAUGUACGCAAACUUGUUGUGACAUUCUUCUUUUAGGUUUUCUGCAAAUAAAAAGGCUGAAAUUUAGAAAAAUAAUAACAAAAUAAAAUAAUGAGUGCAUAAAGGCAUUAAUGACAUAGAGCAUGUGAUCAGAAAGAUAAUAACCAAUUAGCUUUAAAAGGAAAUCCAUUACCAUCAAGCUUUGCGACACCUGUGUCAACAUUGUUCACAAACAAAAUAGUUUUGGUCAAUAGUUAAAAGACAAUCCCCUGUUUAUUCCCUUUCUUAAUCAAAUAAGCAAUGUAAACAAAGAACAAACAACCAUGAAUAUUAGAACUAAAGCUAAGUAGGCUCUUCAAAUAAAUGAAACUUAAAAGAGAUGCAUGUAGCCUAGGCGGCAUCUGUGAUAUGAGGUGCAUUUACCAAGGAUAACAUUAGUAUAGAAAUAUGCUCAUGGAUCUUUUCUUUUUAUGUAAACCUACUUAUAUCAUGUGUGCUUCAAUAAAUAGAACCAAGGCAACAUGAACCCUAAUAAAAAAAACCUUAAGCAACUAUUACCGUAUUUUUUUUGGUUUCACCACAAAUCAAUAGCAACAUAAAAGGGCUUUUAAAAGGGAAAAAAUAUACUUGUAACUCCAAAAUACUCGGAGAAAACGGGUUACCUGGACAGACAGAUAAAAAUCAUAGAUAGUUAGAUUAGUCAAUUUUUUCAUUAAUCAACAUAUUGAAGGGGACAGAAAUUAGAGCAACAUAUGAUAAGUCCGAAAGGGAGAAAGACUAAUAGAAAGAGAGAAAGAUAGUAGAAUCCAAUACACAGACGACAGAGAUUCUUCACAGUUCACAUUUCCAAUAGAUAAAUGCUUGUAUAGGACUCACAAUUCACAGUUGUAAGGUGACAAUGGAUAUUGUUUCAUCAUUUUUUCUUCCUCACAUGUCACCUUCACAUGGACCUGACAGAAGUUGGCAGCAAAACAACAAUGAGGCAAUAUACAUAAAUAUAUCAACGUGAAAAAUAUAGAACAUGUUAUCAGUUAAAUUAAAAAAGAAAAUACAGAGCAUGAAUACUAACACAUAUAAUUGGAACUUGGUGUCUAAUGUACGACUAAUAGCUAUAUCAUCAACUUGUAUUAAAAAUGGUUGAAUAACAUCCUAUAUCUGUUAUGCAACUUUGUUAUGUCUCGUCUUCUUUAAGACUAUGGAAAACCAAUUGGCACAAAAUUCAAUGCUUUCAGGAGUAUGUGCUUAGUCUAAAUAAAACACCAAAUCACCAUGUGGACUUUGACUGUCACGCACUUGUUAAGAAAUAAUCUGAGCCGUUCCUUGUAGAUUUGUUGUUGUUUAUCCCUUUGAUGAAUUGAUCAGACAAACAAACUGUAUGCAACCAGAAAAAACAUUAGGAAUUAUUUUUUUAAGGAUUUAAUGAACCUAUGCCACCAAAUACUACACACAUACAUGCAACUACACUAAAUUUAAAGAUUAUUAUAACCUGCAAAAAUAGCUCCAAUGGUAGAAAGUGUUUCUUUUUAAAAAGAGAUCAUCCAUAUGAUAAUAAAGAAAUACAAAGUUUAUUCAUUACUCAUUAGUGAGUGAAGCAAGUGUGUCACUAUUUCCAGAAAUCAGCAACAAAUGAAAGCAUGUCAAGGCCCGCAAAUAGAAAGAAUACCCUACCACCACUGGAGAGAUUCUUGGUUGUCUCGGAACCGUUGGUCUACAAGAAGCCAUUUUCAUCGCCUAAAAGAACAUGCCAAGCUUGGUUUCAUCAAAAUCGUUCAAGUGCUAAAACAAUUGAAACAGAUACUUGAAAGUGUACUGCUAUUUCUUGCAUUUAAGCCAAACCUUAAACUUUCCAUUUGCAUACAGCCACUUACACCAUACACACCAGCCUAAAUUCAUUUCUUUCUACAAUAACUUUAAUCUUCAAUCCUUGUACUUUAAAAUUUAUUUAUUCUUAGAUAGAUACACACCAUGCCACACCACACAUACACACAUAGAUUUAUGAUUAUGAAAAUCAGAACACAACCACACACAUACACAAACAUAAAAUUAUGAUUUUGAAAAUCAAAACUGAAUUAUGAUUUUGAAAAUCGGAACGUAUAAGUAUAGUAUGUGUAAAACCUGCUAUAUUCGUAAUGGCAUUUGACAAAGCAUGAGCUAAUGAAACAUCCUUUCAAACACCAAACAAAUCCUCUCCUAAAAGCAAUUUUUUGGAACUUUUCCUUCACCGUAUCUAAAUCUGAAACUGCAACUCAAUUAUCACCCAAUUUAAUCAAUCAAUCCAAAAAAAAAUUGCAGGUUUAGGGCACAACAAAAUCAUUAAAUCAUGAAAUCAGAAUAAAACUCUAUAAAUAGCGGCUAUUAUCGUAUUACCUAAAAAUUUGUUGUCAUUGUUUGUGGUGCCUUCAUCACCUGCUCCGGGAUUCAUAUUUUGUUCAUCCUCAGUGAACGGAACCAUUUUAAAAAUUCAUGUAGUGAGGUUCACACAAUAAAGAUGAAUACAAACAGGUUAACAAAUCUUUUACUUUUUUCCUAUGUAAAUUCGAUUAAAAAUAAGGAUUUGGGAAUGAUCCUCCAAUAAAGAAUAGGAUUCUGAAGAGACAACAAUGGAGAUGGCAUAUUAUGAAUUCACCUUUUCUUGACAAAUCAUUGGGGAUAAAUUUAACGUCACGAUGGAAAGGGUUAGAGAGAGAGAGAGAGUGGGUUUUUGAGGAAGGAGACGGGUAACGAUGAUAGAUGAGUAUACACACAGCUCGAGGUAUGGGGUUCAGAAAAUUGAUCAAUUGAUUAAAAUCAAACUCGUUAGAAUAUUUACCUCCUGGUUUGAGAAAGAUUUCUUUUAAACCUUUUGAAACUAUUAUUUGUGAAAUAGAUUCCUCUUGCUUCUUGAUCAAUUGCUCAAUACACAUGUGUUCGUCAGUUGUAUACAGAUAAAUGCAGAGAAGGUCGAAGGCAGCCACAAACAAAUACAUAUAAAAUUAGACUUAGAGCUCAUAAAAGUGAUUUGCUCGUUCUUCCAAUGUUUCAACAAAAAAAACAUAAAAACCCACAAAUCAAGAAAUCCAAAUGGUUAAACAAAAGAUAGGGCCAAUAAUCAUUAUGUUCUUACCUACAUUUGGGCGGAUAAACAGAGAGGGUCGAGAACUGUAAUUGAGAAAUGAUCAUAACUUUGUGGAUCAGAGAGUUGAAGAAAAAUGUUGAAAAAUAGCAAUGCACCUCAUAGCUCUAUGAAUCAAAUCAAAGCCCCUUCACCUCACAGCACGAUCGACGAUGCUAGAAAAGAGAAGGAGGCAAAAUAUUAUCCGACACCACUCCCUUCUUUUCUCUUAUACCUAGCAUACCUUCAAAUCAACUCUAACAGAUGAUGGUGAACAUCAAAUAAAUAGAUGAAAACAAAUAAACACACACAAAGACAGGGAAAAAAAGAACGAAGAAACAUACAUACGGUAAUGGUAGAAGCUAGGGUUUUGAAGAGAUUAUGUCGAUGGUGGACCCUCAAAUGUGCAAUGGUGGCAUUGAUGUUGUCGAUAAGCAAUUCACUUUAGGGUUAGGGUUUCCGGUGUGCGAUGGUGGCGUUGAUGGUGGCAGUGAGAUAGAGUUGGUAGUAACCGAGGCUACAGGAGAUUGAAGAGAGUAAGGAGGGAAACGGAAGAGAUGUGGGAGAAAUGACGGCUGAUGGGAAGAUAUUAGGGUUUUCCAACAUUCAGACGAAGAAGUUAAGACCAUGAUGAUAAGUGUGUGUAUAUUGUAAGCU
rnacentral:lncRNA from 1 species